rnacentral:rRNA from 1 species
CAGAGGUGGCAAGCGUUGUUCGGAAUUACUGGGCGUAAAGGGCGCGUAGGCGGCCUUCUAAGUCAGACGUGAAAUCCCCAGGCUUAACUUGGGAACUGCGUCUGAUACUGGAGGGCUCGAGUGCGGGAGAGGGAUGUGGAAUUCCAGGUGUAGCGGUGAAAUGCGUAGAUAUCUGGAGAAACACCGGUGGCGAAGGCGGCAUCCUGGACCGACACUGACGCUGAGGCGCGAAAGCUAGGGGAGCAAACGGGAUUAGAUACCCCGGUAGUCCUAGCCCUAAACGAUGAGUGCUUGGUGUGGCGGGUAUCGAUCCCUGCCGUGCCGAAGCUAACGCAUUAAGCACUCCGCCUGGGGAGUACGGUCGCAAGGCUG